rnacentral:lncRNA from 1 species
GUGCCUUAGGUAUAGGGCUCAAAGCUGUGUUUCUGUAUGCAUGAUGAAUCAGUGUCAUCGGCUCCACCGGAUCCAAAGUGGAGCCCGCACCCCAUUGCUCUUGACCCCUGCACUCUUGUUUAAAGAGUUGAUGCUCUUGUAGUGAUGUAAUGUGUUUUCAGUAGAGGUGCGGAGCCAUCUCAGCGGGUGACAAUUUGCAUAUCUUGCUUCACGGUGCAGCAUGACUUGCAGAGGCUUCGUUUAACUGCUGUGAGAUUCUACACUUUGUGUCCUCCCGCGGUGAGCAGUGACACCCACGCUUGAACACUGGAGGACUUUGUGGGAAAAACAGACAGAGCAGCCAUAAAGAAGAUACACAAUGUCCGGCCUCACAAAACCUGGUGGGAAUUUGGAGGUAACGUGGGUCAAGAAUGGGGUCACAUGCAUUCUCUCAUACCCGCUGCUGUCUCUGCAAAGGUGCAUCACCACUGCCUGGGUGUGGAAACUCCCCUUGCACACAGAUUGUGAGCACUGAAGGAAACCUUUCUAAGAACUACUUAGAUUUAAGAUGGAGAAACUGCAGCCAGGUCUUUGAAACUUCUGCAGCCUCUGUGACACCCAGUCCUGCUCCAGUUCUCCAUGCCAGCAGCAGCUGA